rnacentral:lncRNA from 1 species
UCUGCAGUACUAAUAUUGUGCCAUUGUUGUUGAGCGAUUUGGCUUGACAACUAUCAUAUCUAAUUCACCAUACAACAAAAGAACAAAGAAAAGAAGGGAACAUUAAACUUAUAAUCUCCAAAAAUAUAAACAUCCAAGACUGAGACAUUCAGUCUUCGAAAAAUAUUAUGGAAGAUAUAUAUUUUUAUAAAUGAUCAAUUUCAUAUCUAUCAAUUAUAUUAUUAACUAACGAAAAAAGUUUACCUUUGUCAUAUCUAGUUGAAAUGAUCCUUUUUUUUCUCCUUUUCUAUAGGGAAAAAAUAGUUGAGGACAUUCCUUUUUUUUCACCUUUUCUAUAGGGAAAAAAUAGUUGAAGACAUUAGUUUAGUUAAGAAAUCAGGUACCUAAUUAGCUUCUCUAAAAUGAAAUAAUGUGAUAUAAACAAUCUCAAUAAUAAUAAUUAGAGUGCAGAUCAAGAUUGAACCUGCUGAACACAGAGAAUUUCGUAAUUGAAAAGAAUAAAGACUACUUUCUUCGUUUCAAAAUAAAUGGUGUUUUUAGCUUGAACAUAUUGAUUCUUAGAGAAACUACUCAUUUGUAUAAGAUAAAGAGUAGUUUUACUACUUACCCCUAAUUAAAUGCCUUGAAGAAUAAGUGAUUCUAUAAUGAUGUACAAUUCCAUGUAUUAAAACAAGAGUAAUUUUAUAAGAAUAAAAUCAAUUCCUAUCAAAACAAAAUAAACAGGCCAAAACACCACUUAUUUUGAAACGAAGGAACUACAAUUUUAACCUUCUCCUUUGUAGAAAGUUCAGGAAAUUAUUUGGUUGAGAUUUUUUAAUAGAAAAAUAGUAUUCAAAAUUGAUGUUGAAAAGGAGUAUUUUGAAGUUAAAAUUGUGUUUUUAGUCCUCUUGCUGAAAUGCCUUCCAAAAAGAUUAUUUAUUUCCCCUUAUUGAAACAAGAUGGACAUGAAAACAAAGUUCAAAGUUUUGUAUGUGAAAACUUUAAAUCAUUUGUAAAAUUUUCCAUGUUGUAAUGACAAUAUGAAUUAAUUCAUAUAUAGAUUAUCAAUUGAAAUGAUUAUUAUUAAAAUUCAGUUUCAUUAGUCCCUUACUGUAUACCUCCAAUCUUCUACACCAAUAAACAUUCUUAUCAAAACAAAUUACUUGUAAUUAAGUGUUACUUAUGAGACUUCUUGGAAAUAUAUGUUUUUUCAUCAGAACUUUUGGUUCUGCCACUGUGUACUGCAUGUCUUGGGAAUGUUCAAAAUUAUUAUUAAAACACACAAAGACCAAGUUGAGUAACAUCCAUAUAUACUAGUGAUAUUCCAAUUACAAAGUACUUAUGAACUUUCUCACACAAAAUAAUGUACAUCUUCCCCUAUUUUAUAUAAUGUCACAUCUCUAAUGUUUUUUUUAUUAGAAUGAUGAGAAAUAACACAACUAACAUAAUAUACAUCACAAUAAAUGUAUAAAAGACUUGAGAGAAGAUACAAAACAUUUUGAAAAUCAAUUUAAGUUUACCAAUUAUAUGGGUGUGAAUAUAUAAUUAUCUAUUUUGAAUGACAUUAAAUACUAUCUCUAACUAGGAAUGGAAUAGACAUAAACUGAAGAUUUUGGCCCUUGUUUUUUUUUAACUUUUGGAUCCAAAAAUAUGUUGAAUUCUUCUGCUCUUUUGCCUUCUUUCUUUAGUUUAGUUUUUUAAUUACAGUUUUAUCUCUACAUAACUUGAGCAAUUUAUAACUCUAAUGAUGAAGAAAUAGUUUACACUUUACAUGUGAUUAUAACCAUAAAAUUGUGAUUAACUAAUUAUCCAGAGAUAAAGUCUUCCAGUUUGUCACACCAUAUUUAUGUUUGGUGUAACAUGUGAAUAUAUUAACUCCUAAACAUGACAUGAUCUUUUAGCCCUACAAAGUUCUAUUAUCAUAUGCCAUAGAACGAAUGGUACCUAUUUGUUUAGAGUACAUAUCCAUCAAAAGACAUAUAAAAGUUAUAUUGCUCGGACUCUUCAAAAAUAUUCACAAACUAUGUGUGUUGCAUACUAAAAAAUAGUACAUUUUUGGAGAAUCCAAACAACAUAGUGUAGACAUGGCAUAAACUUAAUCCAAUCUUUAGGAAAAAAUUAAGACAUAGUAACUAGUUAAUCUCUUAAGGCAAACAAGCUAAGUAAAAGUUUAACACUUUUGUUUAAACUAUUUGUCGAGCUUCAAAGAGGAUUACAUAAUCCAAAUAACUAAAUCAACUGUGAUUACUUUUAAACUACCAUUCAAAGAGUAUAAUUAAGAGAGAGUAGAGGGUUAAUUAC